GCAAGAUUAAAACUCAAAGGAAUUGACGGGGCCCCGCACAAGCAGCGGAGCAUGCGGCUUAAUUCGACGCAACGCGAAGAACCUUACCAAGGCUUGACAUAUACAGGAAUAUGGCAGAGAUGUCAUAGCCGCAAGGUCUGUAUACAGUUGGUGCAUGGUUGUCGUCAGCUCGUGUCGUGAGAUGUUGGGUUAAGUCCCGCAACGAGCGCAACCCUCGUUCUGUGUUGCCAGCAUUUAGUUGGGGACUCACAGGAGACUGCCGGGGUUAACUCGGAGGAAGGUGGGGAUGACGUCAAAUCAUCAUGCCCCUUAUGUCUUGGGCUGCACGCAUGCUACAAUGGCUGGUACAAACGGCUGCGAUACCGCAAGGUGGAGCGAAUCCGAUAAAGCCAGUCUCAGUUCGGAUUGGGGUCUGCAACUCGACCCCAUGAAGCCGGAGUUGCUAGUAAUCGUAGAUCAGCAACGCUACGGGUGAAUACGUUCCCGGGGCUUGUACACACCGCCCGUCACAUCACGAAAGUCGGUAACACCCAAAGUCAGUGCCCAAC
rnacentral:rRNA from 1 species